rnacentral:rRNA from 1 species
UACAGAGGUCCCAAGCGUUUGUUCGGAUUCACUGGGCGUAAAGGGUGCGUAGGUGGUCGGGUAAGUCUGAUGUGAAAUCUCUGGGCUCAACCCAGAAAUGGCAUUGGAUACUAUUCGGCUAGAGGAGUGGAGGGGGGGACUGGAAUACUUGGUGUAGCAGUGAAAUGCGUAGAUAUCAAGUGGAACACCAGUGGCGAAGGCGAGUCCCUGGACACUUCCUGACACUGAGGCACGAAAGCUAGGGGGAGCAAACAGG